CUCCUGCUGGUAAUAGCUUAUGUAAAGUGAUCACUCUCCUAACAAUGUGUAUGAUAAUCAAGGUGGGCCAUUUCCAGCACAAAUCCAGGUUUUCUCCCCCCAAACAAACCCACUCUCCUGUUGUACUCAGACUAUAUUCCCUCUCAGAGACAGAAAGAGAACUGCCUAAUCCUCUGUUCUAACCCCUAGAUCACACUCUUUCUUAGAGCUGUGACCUGAACCCAGGAGACCUGGCUUCCUAGCCUUUGCCCUCGGAACCAGUGGAGAUGUCGUCUUGUCCACACCUAAUCUCUCUCUCUAUCUACCAGCAAUAGGUCCAAAACCCGACCUGAGCUUUGGGAUGUCUGAAUCCAGCUCCUUGGAGGCUCCUCCAUACACCACCAGGGAAUCUGGUCCCACGUCACCAAACAGGCUGGAUUCCAGAACUCGAGGCUGGAUGGCAGUUCCUAUGCACCUGAAGUCUCCAUCGCGCUGCAGAGCCGAAAUGGGCAGCACACACGUGCGUGUGCAUGCGUGCAAGUGUGUGCACAGAAGCGUGUUUGUGCAUGUGCACACCUGUGUCUAUGUGUGCCUCUGUGUGUGUGUACACGUGUGUGCAUGUCUAUGUGGGUACAGCAUGUGUGCCUGCACAUAUGUGCGUAUGUGCAUGUGUGUGCAUGUGUGUGCACAGGAGCAUGUUUGUGCAUGUGCACACCUGUGUCUGUGUGUGCAUGUUUAUGUGGGUACAGCAUGUGUGCCUGCACAUAUGUGCGUACGUUCGUGUGUGUGUGUGUGUGUGCGUGUGUGUGCACAGGAGCAUGUUUGUGCAUGUGCACACCUGUGUCUGUGUGUGCAUGUACACAUGUGUGCAUGUUUACGUGGGUACAGUAUGUGUGCGCGCACGUGUGUGUACGUGCGUGCAGGUGUACGUGCAUGCAUGAGUAAGUGCGUGUGUGUGCGCGUGUGCACACGUCCGCAGGCCCCCAUGUCAUCAGCCUCCCAAGGGCCAAACAGCAAAUGUUCCUUGCUGAUAAGCACUCUCCCAGCCGCGCUAAGGAGACCGGGUGGCCGCAGUAGAUGGAACCACUCCAGCGUGGCUGCAAAUUCUCAAAGCCACCUGCCGGCCCUUUGUGGUGAGGGAGGUGAGGGAGUAAUUGCCUGACAGAAAUGAUCAGGGACAGACACUUGGCUGAGCAGGAGGGCUGGGAAAUUGUUCCUCUCCCCAGCGCUGCGUGGCCCACUUGUCAUCAAUCAGGCAGGCACUGUAAUAACCCGCUGAGGGGGAAGCUCUCCACAGCCCUUCCCCACAUCCACACCCUGUUGCUGGAUUAACCCUCAGAGUGCUGGGCUCAGCAGCUUCUGGCCUGCUCUGAAUCACACACUGAUACCCAUGGCUAGGGUGACCAGACAGCAAAUGUGAACAAUUGGGACAGGGGGUAGGUGGUAAUAGGAGCCUUUGGAAAAAGACCCAAAAAUCGGGACAUCUGGUCACCCUACCCAUGGCCCCCCGGGAGCAGAGAAUUGUCGCAGCACAUGUGCUCCGGCCACACCCUAAUUCUAAUCCUACACUGGGACUGGGGGGUGCAGGACCCUUAUGCUAACGGCCCCACACCGGCCGGGGGGAUUCUCAGGGGGGCCGUUUUCACCCACUCUCAGGCAGCCCCUCACGCCGCCAGAGAAGCCAAGCGGGGCCUGGCUGUGUCUGAGAACGAGGCCCACCACGUAACCAGAGAACCAGGCCUGUGGUGUGACUCAGAAUCGGGCCCCGUGUGUCUCCAGGGCUGUCCCCGUCACCAGCCUGCGUCUCCCUGCACAAAGACAACGACAACGACGUCCCAGGUAGGCCGCUGGGGUCCCGCUCCCGCCCGGGCCCUGCUUGUUUACGUCCUGCCAGCUGCCCUCCCUCGGAGCCAGUUACAUAACCACAGGGCUAUUCGUUUCCCGCCCCGGCAACAGCAUGGAUUUCGCAACCCAUGACUCGGUGUGAAAGGAAAACAUUCCCUGGGCUUUCUCCGAAAGACCAACAGGCUGGAUCCUGUCUCUUUUUCUCCUGCUCUCUUUGCCCACGACGGAGUUUUAUUUUCGUCUCCCCUCUUAUCGGCGCGGCUGUUCACCUGGGGGCUGGCGCUUGCGAAGCAGAUCUGGGUGGGCACAGCCCAGUGCGGCCAGGUACGGGGCCAUGCCGGGUGCCCACGUGGCUGACCCCCUCAGCCCGGCAAGGACAGCCGGCGGCAGGGACGGUGACGGAGUUGGAACUGGUCAGUCUGUGGCGACUGAAACAGUCUGCACGCCGGCGUCGAUUGCCGUGAAAUUCUGCCGGAAAAUGGACAGGUUUCUGAUGGAGCCGGUUCCCUGCCUGCUCCUCUGGCUGGGAACCUGGAGGCCCUGAGAGUACGUCUACACAGGAUAAAAACCCCGCAGCUGGCCUGCGAGGGCACCACAACUCGGGCUUCCAGCCCAAGCCCGAAUGUCUACACAGCAAUUUUUAGCCCUGGAGCCUGAGUCAGCUGACCCAGGCCAGACAUGGGGGCUGUGCCAUGGGUCUUUUAUCCCUGUGUAGAUGCAUCCAUGUGAAUCCUGGCUCCCAGCUCCUCAAAGUCCCAGACUCUGAAGGCUUCCAGUUACCCUGUCUCUGAGGACCCACCGUACGGACUGUCCUGGCUCUGUCAGAUGGAAGGGCCCACCGCUAGCCGCUUACUUGCCAGCUUAACUGCCAGUCUAACGAGUGCAGCUGGGCCCAGUUAAGCCUCCAGAUUGGCCCAGCAGUCUGACUGGCUGAGGGGUCAGCACACCUGCUCUUAAGAGCAGCAACAGCAGGAGGGCUGGCUGUUUAAAAUAUUUGCCCAUGGCUGUACCAGCUUCUGUCUUUGGCCCAGCCCUGUUCCUACCUUCCCAGAUUCCAGGUAACCUGGUUUGGACCCUCUCAGUUCUGAUUUCUGGUUCUGGCUUGGCCUUAACCCUUGCUCCUGUUUCCCUGUUCUAGAUGUCUGGUCUGACCAUUAGGUGAGACCCCCCCCUCCACCUCCCAGUCCCUGGCUCCUUGUUGAAAUGGGUGGAGAAUUUUGAAAUUUUUGGUGUUUGUUCCAAAUUGGAAUGAAAUCAAGUUUUGAAAUCUCAAAAUCUGCCACAAAAUGGAAUUCCUGUUCUCUACCCAGCUCUAAUUAAUGUCAGUGGGGAGUGAGUUCCAUAAAUUAACCUCAAUAAUCCUCUGCCUCAACUAGUUCCACAGGUUAAUAUCAUUAAUAGCAUGGGGCUAUGAGUUCCAUGGGUUGUCUAUGCUGUCUCCCCAUAUCCAGUUGUUGUUACUUUCCCCCUAGCAGCUGUCACUGCAGAUUCUGUUCCUCUUUCUGUAACUCAGGAUUAAAAAGAAGAGGAUGUCUAA